rnacentral:rRNA from 1 species
CAAGUCGAACGAUGAUGCCCAGCUUGCUGGGUGGAUUAGUGGCGAACGGGUGAGUAACACGUGAGUAACCUGCCCCUGACUCUGGGAUAAGCGUUGGAAACGACGUCUAAUACUGGAUAUGAUCACUGGCCGCAUGGUCUGGUGGUGGAAAGAAUUUUUGGUUGGGGAUGGACUCGCGGCCUAUCAGCUUGUUGGUGAGGUAAUGGCUCACCAAGGCGACGACGGGUAGCCGGCCUGAGAGGGUGACCGGCCACACUGGGACUGAGACACGGCCCAGACUCCUACGGGAGGCAGCAGUGGGGAAUAUUGCACAAUGGGCGAAAGCCUGAUGCAGCAACGCCGCGUGAGGGAUGACGGCCUUCGGGUUGUAAACCUCUUUUAGUAGGGAAGAAGCGAAAGUGACGGUACCUGCAGAAAAAGCACCGGCUAACUACGUGCCAGCAGCCGCGGUAAUACGUAGGGUGCAAGCGUUGUCCGGAAUUAUUGGGCGUAAAGAGCUCGUAGGCGGUUUGUCGCGUCUGCUGUGAAAUCCCGAGGCUCAACCUCGGGCUUGCAGUGGGUACGGGCAGACUAGAGUGCGGUAGGGGAGAUUGGAAUUCCUGGUGUAGCGGUGGAAUGCGCAGAUAUCAGGAGGAACACCGAUGGCGAAGGCAGAUCUCUGGGCCGUAACUGACGCUGAGGAGCG